AACGCGAAGAACCUUACCUACUCUUGACAUCCUCGGAAUCCUCUAGAAAUAGAGGGGUGCCUUCGGGAACCGAGAGACAGGUGCUGCAUGGCUGUCGUCAGCUCGUGUCGUGAGAUGUUGGGUUAAGUCCCGUAACGAGCGCAACCCUCGUCCUUAGUUGCCAACGCGUCAUGGCGGGAACUCUAAGGAGACUGCCGGUGAUAAACCGGAGGAAGGUGGGGAUGAUGUCAAGUCAUCAUGGCCCUUACGAGUAGGGCUACACACGUGCUACAAUGGGCGGUACAAAGGGUUGCCAAACCGCAAGGUGGAGCUAAUCCCAAAAAGCCGCUCAUAGUCCGGAUUGGAGUCUGCAACUCGACUCCAUGAAGUUGGAAUCGCUAGUAAUCGCGAAUCAGAAUGUCGCGGUGAAUACGUUCCCGGGCCUUGUACACACCGCUAGUC
rnacentral:rRNA from 1 species